rnacentral:rRNA from 1 species
AUUGAACGCUGGCGGCAGGCCUAACACAUGCAAGUCGAACGAGUGGCGGACGGGUGAGUAAUGUCUGGGAAUCUGGCUUAUGGAGGGGGAUAACGACGGGAAACUGUCGCUAAUACCGCGUACCAUAGGAUGAGCCCAAGUGGGAUUAGGUAGUUGGUGGGGUAACGGCGCACCAAGCCGACGAUCCCUAGCUGGUCUGAGAGGAUGACCAGCCACACCGGGACUGAGACACGGCCCGGACUCCUACGGGAGGUAGCAGUGGGGAAUAUUGCACAAUGGGGGCAAGCCUGACGCAGCCAUGCCGCGUGAAUGAAGAAGGCCUUCGGGUUGUAAAGUUCUUUCGGUGAGGAGGCGUUAAUCGCAGAAGAAGCACCGGCUAACUCCGUGCCAGCAGCCGCGGUAAUUC